rnacentral:tRNA from 1 species
GAAAGACUAGUUAAUAUAUAACCUAGGUUUGUCAAACCUAAAUAACUCUUUAAGAGUGUCUCUCU